UAGGGAAUCUUCCGCAAUGGGCGAAAGCCUGACGGAGCAACGCCGCGUGAGUGAUGAAGGUCUUCGGAUCGUAAAACUCUGUUAUUAGGGAAGAACAAAUGUGUAAGUAACUAUGCACGUCUUGACGGUACCUAAUCAGAAAGCCACGGCUAACUACGUGCCAGCAGCCCCGGUAAUACGUAGGUGGCAAGCGUUAUCCGGAAUUAUUGGGCGUAAAGCGCGCGUAGGCGGUUUUUUAAGUCUGAUGUGAAAGCCCACGGCUCAACCGUGGAGGGUCAUUGGAAACUGGAAAACUAGAGUGCAGAAGAGGAAAGUGGAAUUCCAUGUGUAUCGGUGAAAUGCGCAGAGAUAUGGAGGAACACCAGUGGCGAAGGCGACUUUCUGAUCUGUAACUGACGCUAAUAUGCGAAAGCGUGGGGAUCAAGCAGG
rnacentral:rRNA from 1 species